UACGUAGGGUGCAAGCGUUGUUCGGAUUCAUUGGGCGUAAAGGGUGCGUAGGCGGUCGGGUAAGUCGGAUGUGAAAUCCCAGGGCUCAACCCUGGAACUGCAUUCGAUACUGCCUGGCUAGGGUACUGGAGAGGAGACUGGAAUUUACGGUGUAGCAGUGAAAUGCGUAGAUAUCGUAAGGAAGACCAGUGGCGAAGGCGAGUCUCUGGACAGUUACCGACGCUGAGGCACGAAGGUCAGGGGAGCAAACGGG
rnacentral:rRNA from 1 species